GACCUGGUGGUGAAAUGCAUCACACCCACACUGCUCAGAACAGAAAAGUGGCAGUGAGAGUCCCUGGUUCGAACCCGGGUUAGGUCA